rnacentral:other from 1 species
AUUCCCCUGCGGAUUACGUGAUUUGCUCCGUGUGUUUGAGCCAUCUGUUUUGAAAGGGGAGCCGGUCCCUGCGGCUGGUGUGACCGCCCCGAGCAAUAAGGGGUGGUCCUGAAGCCGCACACGGGCGCCCGCCUGUUGCACGUCAACAGGUUCAAACGCAAGCAGACACGGAUCCGGCGGGGGAAUC